UCAGGUACACAUGCCUCAGCCCGAGCUCUUUAAUCUCUUCUCCCUUCCUUGUGUUUCUUUGCCUAAUUAAGCUCUUUUGAGUUGAUUAGGAGAAGAACUCAAGUGCUAGCUCGCCUAAAAACAAAAUUCGAGUAGUAAUUAGUGAAGUUCAUAAACCAGAAAACACAAAAAUAUCUCCUUUCUAAAUAAAUUCAUGGCUUACUGAACGUCGAACGUUUGUGGUGGUUUAACGCCCCGCAAGAACGACUAACAACUAACGUCUAACGACUAAUGCUAACCCUCCUCUUAACUUCUUGUUUCCUUCAGGUAUUGCUCGUUCUAACAUUUUCCAUGCCAAGAGGUUCGAAACCCACUUCCUCAUCAUGACAGGAAUCUUGCAAGACACGAACCAAGCCUUCACUGCCAUCGGAUGGGAGAACUUCGCCGACAUCGUCGAGCUAGGGGCAGGUGUACCAAAAUUGAGCAAAAUUGGGCAAAAUCCCAAGCCGGGCGGCCUAUCCUAGGGCGGCCGGCCUCGCACCUCCAAGAACACAACCCCAGCUUCUAUCCAGUGGCCAUGAGACACACUCAUGCGGCUCUGAGUCAAGGGUUGGGCUCUGGUUCAAUUGGAUACACCGAAAGGCUUCAACAUCCAUUUAAAGACCCACAAGACAACCCAAGAUCAAAUGUAUUUCAACAACCCACUUCCCUGGAGAAUGCACAAGAGCAGAGCGGAGUCUCGGCAAAACCAGAGGCCAAGAUGGGCCAGAGGGAGGCCGGCCGGCAUAGCACCUACAACCGCCAAGCGAAGCCAACAUCCAACUGACUCCAGGAGAGGAUCAGAGCCAUUAUCCGAAAGGCGGUGGACACGUGGUGGCAUCCCUAGGCCGGCCGCCCUAGGGGAGGCUGGCCGGACCCACAUGGAAACCUCUAAGGUUGAGGUUUGGCGUGGAAUUUAAGCACAACUGUAUUACCUGCUUUCAACUGACGCUACCUGUAGUAACCGCUAGAACCGACCUUAGGAGGGCUAUAAAUAGAGGCACCAUCCAUCACUUCAACACA